rnacentral:lncRNA from 1 species
CUUCUCUUUGUUUUGGAAACACUGCAUUCAAACUGAGACUUUGAUAAUUUCUGCAAAGAAUAAUGGCAAGAGGAAAGAAGCUUGCUUGCCCACAGUAACUUCCAGACAAAUGAAAACCCGGGCUGUGUCCUGAGAGUUUUAGGUAAUCCAGGCUCAUAAUUUGAUUUGAGAAGAGCUACUCCAGGCUACUGUGUAAUUAUAGAAGCAUUCGCUCGGCUGGCUCCUGUUCGCCUCGUCACGUUCUACUUCAUUGCCCUUUAUACUAAAGCCCCUGUUGAUGAGAGGGCGGAAACAAUGAAGAAAUAGACAUCAAGAAGCUCUGUGAACAGCAGAAGGUGGCAGUUGGGAACAGUCUCCCAGUGUCUAGGUCAGUACGAAUCAUUGCCGGUCUCUACCUGUUACUGGUUUAGAGAUGCACGUGCAAGAAACUAGAAUUUGUUUCAGUAAUUACCCCAGCUCUUAGGAAUUAGUACUUUGUCAAAAAAUGAAUAAAGCAAAAAAUUCA